CCACACUGGAGGAGUAACUGGAGGGGAAAAUAUGCACCUGACUGAAGCAUUCUGAAGUAAUUUGGCGAGUUGUACUGCUGAUAAUGUUAUUUUGCCCUUUGUUCUUUCUUGCAGGAGUCUUGAGAACUACCUAAACAUUAAGCAAGUGACUCGGUAUGUGUCUGACGAACCAUGGGAUUUUUACAAGUCACCUUCAAAGUUGUGAAACUUUCAAGUGGUCAAGGAACAUGCAAUGGUGUUGUGCCAGUUAUGAGAACCAAUGCCGAGGAGAAGCAGAGAAGAAACUUGAUUUGAUGAUUUUUACAAGUCACCUUCAAAGCUGUGAAACUUUCAAGUGGUCAAGGAACAUGCAAUGGUGUUGUGCCAGUUAUGAGAACCAAUGCCGAGGAGAAGCAGAGAAGAAACUUGAUUUGAUGUAGAACCAGUGUUGUUUGUUAAGUAGUCUAAUAAAUCUGUUCGAAGUGAAAAAACAUGGAUAGCAUUUUAUACUGAUAUUUCGUUUUUCCUUUGUUUAUUUCAUGUUUUAGAGGA
rnacentral:lncRNA from 1 species